rnacentral:rRNA from 1 species
GACGAACGCUGGCGGCGUGCUUAACACAUGCAAGUCGAACGGAAAGGCCCUGCUUUUGUGGGGUUCUCGAGUGGCGAACGGGUGAGUAACACGUGAGUAACCUGCCCUUGACUUUGGGAUAACUUCAGGAAACUGGGGCUAAUACCGGAUAGGAGCUCCUGCUGCAUGGUGGGGGUUGGAAAGUUUCGGCGGGUGGGGAUGGAUGCGCGGCUUAUGAGCUUGUUGGUGGGGUAGUGGCUUACCAAGCCUUUGACGGAUAGCCGGCCUGAGAGGGUGACCGGCGACAUGGGGACUGAGAUACGCACCAGACUCGUACGGGAGGCAGCAGGGGGGAAUAUUGCACAGUGGGAGGAAGCCUGAUGCAGCAACGCCGCGUGCGGGAUGACGGCUUUCGGGUUGUAAACCGCUUUCGCCUGUGACGAAGCGUGAGUGACGGUAAUGGGUAAAGAAGCACCGGCUAACUACGUG